rnacentral:snRNA from 1 species
AUCGCUUCUCGGCCUUUUGGCUAAGAUCAAGUGUAGUAUCUGUUCUUAUCAGUUUAAAAUGCCAGGGCGAGCCGAAACCGGUUUGGCUCAGUGGAUAGAGCGUCGGCCUGUGGACUGAAGGGUCCCGGGUUCGAUUCCGGUCGGGGGCAUGUACCUGGGUUGCGGGCACUUCCC